GAUGAACGCUAGCGGCAGGCUUAACACAUGCAAGUCGAGGGGCAGCAUACCCGGUGACGGGUGAUGGCGACCGGCGGAAGGGUGAGUAACGCGUGAGCAACAUACCCGUAUCAGUGGGAUAAUACAGGGAAACUUGUUCUAAUAUCACAUAAUAUUAUUCAGAGGCAUCUUUGGAUAAUUAAAGUUCAGGCGGAUACGGAAUGGCUCGCGUGACAUUAGCUAGAUGGUAGGGUAAAGGCCUACCAUGGCUAUGAUGUCUAGGGGUUCUGAGAGGGAGGUCCCCCAACUGGAACUGAGACACGGUCCAGACUCCUACGGGAGGCAGCAGUGAGGAAUAUUGGACAAUGGAUGAAAAUCUGAUCCAGCCAUGCCGCGUGCAGGAAGGCGGCCCUAUGGGUUGUAAACUGCUUUUGUACGGGAGCAAUAAGGUCUACGAGUAGAUUGAUGAGAGUACUGUACGAAUAAGCAUCGGCUAACCG
rnacentral:rRNA from 1 species